UCCUUGGAAUAAUAGGCUUUGAACAAUCCUUUUUCUAUUGUUGGAUUUAAAGUGGCUCGUUCAAUGCCUGAGGCCAUGCAACUGAUUAAAGAAAACCUCCCUGCAAUUACAUCAGAAAUGAUGGCUGAUGCAGAGCACGACAAACUAUCAUGGCUCUACAAGUAGAAGGUAAGUGUUGUGGAAUAAUGAGUUACAGCGACUGGGAUAGCAAGAUUCCAGAGACCUGUAAAUGUUUUAGUUUCAAGUCAGACCCGUCCCAAUGUAUGGA